GGAGGGUGUGUCUGGUUUCAAAGCCUACAUUGUAAGAGGAACAUAGGCACACUGAAAAUUGUUUGAUUUGGGCAAGAAGCAAUUUCGUCUGAAAAGCCCACCGGGAGACCUAUUGCUGGAAUGAGAAUCCAGGGGAAGAAAAACACAGGGUAUCCUGGCCAUUGUUUCCAAAUCUCUGUGGGGCUGUAAGGGCCCUGAGUGCACCUGAGAAUGCUGAAAAGAAAAGCCAAGUUCACGGACAAAAAAAGAAUCACCCAAGCUGCUUUCACCUGCCUGCGAUUUCCCAGGAAGCCAGUUUGUCUUUAAGAAGUGAGACCCAUUUGAGAAUGAGUAAUGUCUUAGGCUCUUUAGUCUAAUGCUUAGAGAAUUCCACUUUCUUCUUUCGCUCGGCCUCCCCCUGAGCUCCCCUUUCUCUGUCCCCAACUCCAUUUUAUUUAAUCUUUCUAAAUGGAUAUUGUAGCCUCAGGGACUAAAAGAAUGACACAUGGAUAAACAGGAACUAAGCUCCUAAGCUUUUCCCCUACCUGCCAUCUUCCUCACCACGCAUGAGGAUUAGAAGCAUCACAAAGAAAGCAGUCUCGGAAGUUUGUCAAAUAGAGAUUUCUGGGUGAUGGUUUGGGAAAGGAUGAUUUAGAUCGUGCCUCUCCUGGGUCGGGAAAGUGACUGAAACACAUAACAGCAGAGAACUUGAAGUGCUGGUUUGAGCUUCAGGAGAUGUGAGUUCUAGCCCCAGUGCUGCCUGUGAUUUUCUCUGUGACCUGGGACAAGUCCCUUGUGGAUACGACAGGAUAUGCGGGCUACAGGGAUCUCUGAGGCUUCUCCCAGGUAGGCAAAGUGGAGUGUCAGACUAA
rnacentral:lncRNA from 10 species